ACAAACUGUUCAGAGCACACAAGCCAUGCUGAUUGCAGGCACACAGCAGACCCAGCCAGGGUCACCUGGGACCCUAAUGGCAGCAGAACAGGGGGGCAGCAUGGAAGUGAUCGUGCUGGCUUGGCAGAGCCAAAAUGUUCACUGAUCAGCUCGAGAGAUCUGGAGUUGCUUAUUCUGCCUCCAAAAUUCAUUUCCAGUGGCCAGGCCACCUCCCUGACCUAUAUUCCUCAGACUGCCAUUACGUCAGAGCCUGCCUAUUUGGGGCUAUAAGUGAAAUCCUCUGUCUUCUAGGUGAAAUCCACAGACUUGCCCUGAUCUUGUUGUGACAAGGCCAAGUCCCAUUCAAUUCAAGAGGAAAGUAUCAAUACGAGGGUGAAAACCCUGGUAUUAAUUAAGCUCUGAGCAGUAGUUUCAGGCCGGUGCUGCUGCCUUUAUUUCUUGCAUGUACAGUGCUCCAACCAACACCACUCGUUCGUGGGGCAAUCCCAGUUUUGGUUUAAAAAAGGUACAUAUUCUAAAAAAUGUUUGCUGGACAGCAAAGAACCGGGUUCCAGUUUUGAACUGUGCUCCAGUAAUACCAGAAGUCACAGGGAGAUCAGCCUGACAAAUUGUGUCGUGGUACCACAGGGUGGACUGGCAAAAUCUGCUAUUGCAACUAUUUUCUUGUGAAAAGUAAGGUAUGUUUCUGCUGAACUAUCUGAGGUACCUAAAUAAAUUUGAGCUUUUAAUUUUUACAUCCAAAAUGUCCAAAUAUUUAAGCUGAAACAGUUUGAUUGUAAUAGAGUUCCUUUUUCAUGCUGCCCCAUCUGAGUAUUGUGAGCCGCAGCAGGUUUUAAUUUAAUGUAAUUGCAGACGUCUAUAAUUUGCAAGUAUUAUUGGAAUAUCAAUAAUGUUUGUUUGGGUUUUUUUUUUGACCAAGUGCUCAGGCAAUAUGUCAUGUCAGCACAUCCUAAAAUGUAUAAACUGGGUUAUGAAAUGCCUGGUAGCUAUUUAACUGGGUAUUUCAGGUGCAGAAACUGAGGCCCAUUGCACAGAAUUAUUUGCCCAUUGUUCUUAAUGCAACAUCUUGUGGACUCCAUAUGUAACUGGAUCCCAGCCUGACGGGAUGUUUCUGAAGUGGGACAAGUCCAACCACCUCACACUCCCCUUCACUGCAGCCUUACUUUUGCUAAGGAAGAAACAAACAGAUUUCUGUUCAUCUCACAUUAAGGACCAAUAUUAAAGUGGAUAUGACACCUUUCAGCCCAGCUUUUUCAGCUGGAGAGUUCUCAGAGAUAAGCUAUCAGAUAACUUGUCUGAACAUAAGGGUGUUUCUCUCGAGGCUGACAGAAAUCCAGGGUUUCUGAUUCUUCAGAAACCUAAAGAAACUUUCUUUCCUUUUUAACUUCAGGUAAAGCAGCAGCUCUUGGAUUUGGCAGCUGCUCAGUUUCCCUUCUGUAGCAAUCCCACGAGGCUGCACUUCAGAGCCUUUCUGCCUCUGAGGGAAAGGUUAAUGCACUCCUGGUGCCCUGACAGCCCUUGGCUCCUUGCUCCAUCCCUGCACAGCAGUGGGACAGCCUUUCACCAGCGUUGUCCCUGGGGAUUUUGUAGCUGCACUACGGGCUGGGUGAUGGGAACUCGCUGCUGAUCCCAGCACACCGUGGAGCUGCAGGGAACUUCCACUCCUUCCCUGCUGGGGCUCAGGAUGCCCACUUUGGGGUCACACACAUCAUCUACUGCUUCCAG